CCUUGACUUAUGGCCAGCAUUCAGUAGGGCAUCUAAGGUGACUGCCGGUGACAAACCGGAGGAAGGUGGGGAUGACGUCAAAUCAUCAUGCCCCUUAUGACCUGGGCUACACACGUGCUACAAUGGGUGGUGCAAAGGGUUGCAAACCCGCGAGGCCGAGCCAAUCCCAAAAAGCCACUCUCAGUUCGGAUUGUAGGCUGCAACUCGCCUACAUGAAACCGGAAUUGCUAUUAAUCGCGGAUCAGCAUGCCGCGGUGAAUACGUUCCCGGGCCUUGUACACACCGCCCGUCACACCACAAGAGUUUGUAACACCCGAAAUCAGUGGGGUAACCUUUUGGAGCCANCCGCCGAAAGUGGGACAGAUGAUUGGGGUGAAGUCGUAACAAGGUGGCCGUAUCGNAAGGUGCGGCUGGAUCAC
rnacentral:rRNA from 1 species